rnacentral:rRNA from 1 species
GCUCAGCCCUUAACACAGACAAUACCUAUACAACAUUGCCCGCCAGAAGAUUACUAGCGAAAAGCUAAAAACUCCAAGGACUUGGCGGUGCUUCAUAUCAACCUAGAGGAGCCUGUCCUAUAAUCGAUACCCCACGCUUUACCCCACCACCCCUAGCAACUUCAGCCUAUAUACCGCCGUCGAAAGCUUACCUUAUGAAAGAAACAAAGUCAGCACAACAGUUAAUAACUAACACGUCAGGUCAAGGUGUAGCCCAUGGGGCGGUAGAGAUGGGCUACAUUUUUUCAAAAGACACGAAUAAUACAAUGAAAUACGUGUUUGAAGGCGGAUUUAGAAGUAAGAUGAUUAAGAAAAACCAUCUUAAAUCUGCUGUGAAGCGCGC